UGAAAAGACUCACCACGAAAGGAUUACACUUGGCCUAACAUCCUUAAAUGCCAUUCAUGCAAAAACAUUUUGACAGCAAAAAACAAAUUCCACAAGGAUUUGGUUUCUACUCCUCUCCAUUGUCACUCCCAGGUUUUUAAACACUCUUUCACUGCCCUGUAGUCGAGCCUCUGGAGAGCAGUAGAAGUGGCGGUUGACAGCAAAACUAGAGCAAAGAAGUGUUUCAACAAAUUAACUUAAUUAUAUUAAUACAAUAUGUGCAGCCUGAAUGAAGAAAGAAAGUCAUACAGAUUUGGAACAUCAUGAGGGUUCCCAUUGUUUCCGGCCGCAUCGUUGUCCCACCUCCCACACCGAGAGUGUGUCCGUCCUGGAGCGUUCCAAAACGGAUGACAUCAACCCCUCUCCUGAUCGACAGUGCAAGCGAGGUAAAGGGUCACAUGGCAGCAUCACUGAGUCUAUUGUGCUGCAGUGGGAAAGCCACACGGACUGUAAUGAGCUGGAGGGCUUGGCUGUAAUCUGCCAACACUGCUGCAAUAUAAAUCACAGCAUAAAAAAAACCCUCUAUAAUAGCACAUUGUUCGAGGCCAGUAAAAGCUGGGGUCCAAGGCACUAUUUUCACGUUUGGAAUGAAAGUGCAUUUUUGGCGCAUUGUACUGGGCUUGUAAAAAACGCUCUUUUCACGAGUCAGGUGAGUUUACGCAGCAAGAGUAUGCUUUCAUGUUGCAAAGACAUAGUGAGUCUUUCCAGCAUAGUGAGAGCUUUAUAACCUGCUGAUGCACACAUAUCUUUUUCUCCACCGUCACGGUUCCUGGAAAAAGCUCGAACAUUCCUGGUCUCCUUCGCGCCGAGCACCCUUCUCUGCUUCCAACUCACUAGGCAUCCUGGGCCCUCUCCAUUUCACCUGGGAUCAUCUGAGCCCCCUGGAAUGUGGGAUUAAUGGCCCUCUACGUUUAAGAUAUCCGAGAUGGCACGUUCUCUUAUCAGUAACACCCAUUCAUCAUGAUGUGAGUGGUCAGAAGCACGUUAGGAAGUAGAUUGUAGAAAUCGCUUAUUAAAAAAGUCACCACCGAAUUAGAAGAGGGAGCCAUUUCAUUUUGUAGAUGUAGCACUAGUCCAAAAUGACGAGGGGCCGAUGGGAUUAGCAAGCUAAGCAAAACAGAAAUUGAUGCAUUUCAAUAUGAUAGCUCACAUUUUAACAGACCGUCACUGCCAAGAGGGAAUUAAUAAGCACUCUUGCAGCCUCAUGCAAUCUGUGCGCAAGGCUGGCAUUUUCCAGCAACACAGUGAGCGAACGCAAGACAUAAAUUACAGCAUGAUUAAAGACCCUCCUGAGAGAUGUUUAUGUAUUUUAUGCAUGGUUAUGGUCAGCUUCAUCCCCGUUUAUGCGGAUGUGAUUGCCUUUAAUUAUUGAGAGCCAUCUGAUAAUGCCAGAUGACUGCACCUCUUCUUUUAAAUUAUGAUGUAGACGUCACGUUGAUACGGCAUUAAAAUAAAUAUAGGUUAUCUUUUAGUUCGGUAAUAGCACAUUUCAGGCUGCCGCGGUGCGUUUGCUCUCUCUAUGAGACACGCUUUUGAGCAUCUCAAAAGUACAAAAUAUACGGGUAAACCUUGUCGGCGCUCCAGUCGUCUGUGGUGACACGCGUCAUUACGAGGUUGCGGUCUGUGUGGAAGCGCUGAUUGGUGGAUACCGAGGGUGUGCGCGCAUCAUGCGCUGGCUUUCUUACAGACCCCGAAUCCCUGAUUCAGUCCAUGCU